UGAGUACCCAGUGUAAGCUGCCCUUACGACCCACGAGCAAAUUCUCUGAGCCAGACACAGGACUCCAGGUGCAGCCUCUGUUCUCUAAGAAUGUAGAAUCUGGGGCCAGGGCCUUCCUGCAUUGGA